CCAUCUCCCGGUGACUGCAAGCUGUUCCCACUACCGUUUCUUGCAAGGCGUCUUCUUAAGAGGUUACACACCCAAGUCGUCUUAUCUGCCACAGCCGCCCAUCUCUUACUAUAACAAGGACGACGCGGCCAUCAUACGUCUGGCGGCAGUGUACCGGCUCCCAGCCGCGGCCGCUCAACUUGCUGGGUCAGCAGUUUUUCAACCGCCAUUGCGAGUCCUCCGAUGUCAGCCCAUCCCUCACCUCUCACCGCCGCUGUGGCCGCGGCCGAGGUUUCCUGACGCGCCUACAACGACUGCACGUCACCCAGGGCAUCACAAGCCGUCGCCCUCUCCACUACAUCAGCUGAUUAAUCUUGAGAAGAACCGCCGUUCUGCCCUCCCUUUGGCCUUCAAACCGAGCGGGAAGUUGGUUGACUUCGUCUCAGAGUUAGAGGUCAAGGUUCAGGAACACCCUCACCAUCAACCCCUCGCAACGGCAGCAGCAUUGCAAGCACAAAAUCAUGAUGUUGCGUUUUCUGACCAUCUUGUUGUCCCUCGGCUCCCUGCUUGCAACAACACCCAUCCACCUGAAGCCUGGUGCCCUCACGGCACACAUAGGAGAGGUCUUCCUCAUAGAAGAUGUGCUCCUCGUUACACACGAACUCGUCAUCAAGAAGGCCUUCUCCGUGUGUAUGGGGCCAUCUUCUGGGCCUAAGAUCACCAUCUUCAGCCGGUUCCAGGAACAUUGGCCAACCAGACAGCAAGCCAACCCCUCACAGAUGAAGACCUUCCGGCGACCCUCAACGCCAAGCGUGAGAUGAUCAUUCAAGCUCUCACACGGAUCCUUGAAAGGAAACAUCCGUGUGAUGACAACAAGGAACUUGCUCAGCUAAGCAUCACCUGCUUGGGGGGAGUUGUUCAAAAGAUCUCGUUCCGCCGCCCUGGUGCCCUCCACCGAGCGAGAUGGAUGGCUCGAAUCAUCUACGCCCUGAAGAUGGUGUUGUUUCGUGAUCAGCUGGGGAAGCUUGUUACCUCUCAUGAGAUGGCAGCCCUACUUCGAUUCUCUUUCUUUGCCCUCAAGGUGUACGUCAUGCGGUGGUUUGAGGCAACAAUUCCAGCCUACGCUCCCGCCAACGACCUCGAUCUCGCCAAGGACAUCCUCAGAUACCACUAUGACGCCAUCCGAAAGGCGUGCUUCGUGGUGGUGGGGCACCACUUCUGAUACCUGAGCGAACACCUCAUCAGCCUGUCCCUCUUCGACUCCCGACUUCCCGCCUCCGUGAAGCAGAAGGUUGUUGACGCAACGCUCAACAAGGAAGGAGCGAAAGAACCUCGCAAGCGGAUCACCAUUUCUGAAACAAAGCUACCAAUGGCAACUCUCACAUCCUUCACAACGAAGGCGUCGCUCCACCUCCUUGAUGCCCUUGGUAUUCAGAGGGACUUCCUCUCAACUAACCCACGACGAUGGCAUGAGGAUGACUCCUACGUGGAAGCCUGCUACCACAUCGAGGGACUACGCAUUGCCAACGACACAGCAGAGAGUGGGGUCGCCCUGAAAGACAUUCAACCUCUGACUCACGAAAGACGAGGAACAGAGGCAAUUCCUCCUCCAGCUUGUGGAGCAAUACCGCCAAAAGCAGCCAGGGACAGCCAAGUCCAGCCUUCCCGAUCCAAACUGGUGACAAUGAGUGCGUUGGCUACGCAUGAGAACCCCCCCUCACCCCCUGAGGGGUUAAUACUCAUUUUUGAAAACGAGGGGGACCAGCAGCCCUCACGGUGAGCACAAUGCAUCCAGAAGACCAGCAAGCAUUCCUCAUGCGAUUUACAAGUCAAGGCCUUUUGAUAGUCUUCAGAGCAAAUAGAUAUUCACGAUCCACCACCCCUAAAUAUUGACCAAUUGUGCUGAAAUUUCGCA